rnacentral:rRNA from 1 species
UACAGAGGGCCCGAGCGUUGUUCGGAUUCAUUGGGCGUAAAGGGUGCGUAGGCGGCGGGGUAAGUCUGAUGUGAAAUCCUGGGGCUCAACCCCAGAACUGCAUUGGAUACUGCCUUGCUAGAGUACUGGAGAGGAAACUGGAAUUUACGGUGUAGCAGUGAAAUGCGUAGAGAUCGUAAGGAAGACCAGUGGCGAAGGCGAGUUUCUGGACAGUAACUGACGCUGAGGCACGAAGGCCAGGGGAGCAAACGGG